GGGGCUAUAGCUCAGUUGGAAGAGCGCUUGAAUGGCAUUCAAGAGGUCAGGGGUUCGAACCCCCUUAGCUCCA
rnacentral:tRNA from 1 species